ensembl:piRNA 21ur-4851 ncRNA
UGAAAUUUUCACAUGCUGUUU